rnacentral:rRNA from 1 species
GACAGAGGUCCCGAGCGUUAGGCGGAAUCACUGGGCUUAAAGCGCACGUAGGCGGAUUUGUAAGUCAGGGGUGAAAUCCCGGGGCUCAACCGAGGAACUGCGUCUGAUACUGGAAGGCUUGAAUCCGGGAGAGGGAAGUGGAAUUUCAGGUGUAGCGGUGAAAUGCGUAGAUAUCUGAAGGAACAUCAGUGGCGAAAAGCGACUUCCUGGACCAAUACUGACGCUCAUGUGCGAAAGCGUGGGGAGCAAACAGG